rnacentral:rRNA from 1 species
CCUACGGGAGGCAGCAGUGAGGAAUAUUGGUCAAUGGGCGGGAGCCUGAACCAGCCAAGCCGCGUGAGGGAAGAAGGUCCAGCGUAUCGUAAACCUCUUUUGUCAGGGAACAAAGGCGGGGACUCGUCCCCUGCUGUGUGUACCUUAAGAACAAGCAUCGGCUAACUCCGUGCCAGCAGCCGCGGUAAUACGGAGGAUGCGAGCGUUAUCCGGAUUUAUUGGGUUUAAAGGGUGCGCAGGCGGCCUGUUAAGUCAGCGGUAAAAGCCCGGGGCUCAACCCCGGAGAGCCGUUGAAACUGGCGGGCUGGAGUUGGAGAGAAGUACGCGGAAUGCGCGGUGUAGCGGUGAAAUGCUUAGAUAUCGCGCAGAACCCCGAUUGCGAAGGCAGCGUACCGGAGCGAAACUGACGCUGAGGCACGAAAGCGUGGGUAUCGAACAGGAUUAGAUACCCUUGUAGUC